GCGUUGGUGGUAUAGUUGUUGGCAUAGCUGCCUUCCAAGCAGUUGACCCGGGUUCGAUUCCCGGCCAACGCA
rfam:Nematostella vectensis strain CH2 x CH6 NEMVEscaffold_103_Cont12720, whole genome shotgun sequence.